UCCGACUUGAUGUCGGCAGUCUCGUUAGAGUGCCCCACUUAAGGCUGGCAACUAACGACAGAGGUUGCGCUCGUUGCGGGACUUAACCCAACAUCUCACGACACGAGCUGACGACAGCCAUGCAGCACCUGUGUUACGGUUCUCUUUCGAGCACACCUCGAUCUCUCGUGGCUUCCGUACAUGUCAAGGGUAGGUAAGGUUUUCGCGUUGCAUCGAAUUAAUCCACAUCAUCCACCGCUUGUGCGGGUCCCCGUCAAUUCCUUUGAGUUUUAAUCUUGCGACCGUACUCCCCAGGCGGGAUGCUUAAUACGUUAGCUGCGCCACCGAAGAGCAAGCUCCCCGACGGCUAGCAUCCAUCGUUUACGGCGUGGACUAC
rnacentral:misc_RNA from 1 species